rnacentral:rRNA from 1 species
UAGCGUAGGGACCAAGCGUUGUUCGGAUUUACUGGGCGUAAAGGGCGCGUAGGCGGCAUGACAAGUCACUUGUGAAAUCUCUGGGCUUAACCCAGAACGGCCAAGUGAUACUGUCGCGCUAGAGUGCAGAAGGGGCAAUCGGAAUUCUCGGUGUAGCGGUGAAAUGCGUAGAUAUCGAGAGGAACACCUGCGGCGAAGGCGGGUUGCUGGGCUGACACUGACGCUGAGGCGCGAAAGCUAGGGGAGCGAACGGG